UUAUGGCCAUAUCACUUUUAAACACCAGUUCCCUUAAAAUCACCAAAGUUAAGCAAUGUCAAGUCUAGUCAGUACCAAGAUGGGUGACCACUUGAGAAUUCCAGGUACUGUAAG